GGGUUGUGAGGUUAAGCGACUAAGCGUACACGGUGGAUGCCCUGGCAGUCAGAGGCGAUGAAGGACGUGCUAAUCUGCGAUAAGCGUCGGUAAGGUGAUAUGAACCGUUAUAACCGGCGAUUUCCGAAUGGGGAAACCCAGUGUGUUUCGACACACUAUCAUUAACUGAAUCCAUAGGUUAAUGAGGCGAACCGGGGGAACUGAAACAUCUAAGUACCCCGAGGAAAAGAAAUCAACCGAGAUUCCCCCAGUAGCGGCGAGCGAACGGGGAGGAGCCCAGAGCCUGAAUCAGUGUGUGUGUUAGUGGAAGCGUCUGGAAAGGCGCGCGAUACAGGGUGACAGCCCCGUACACAAAAAUGCACAUGCUGUGAGCUCGAUGAGUAGGGCGGGACACGUGGUAUCCUGUCUGAAUAUGGGGGGACCAUCCUCCAAGGCUAAAUACUCCUGACUGACCGAUAGUGAACCAGUACCGUGAGGGAAAGGCGAAAAGAACCCCGGCGAGGGGAGUGAAAAAGAACCUGAAACCGUGUACGUACAAGCAGUGGGAGCAUGCUUAGGCGUGUGACUGCGUACCUUUUGUAUAAUGGGUCAGCGACUUAUAUUCUGUAGCAAGGUUAACCGAAUAGGGGAGCCGAAGGGAAACCGAGUCUUAACUGGGCGUUAA
rnacentral:rRNA from 1 species